rnacentral:rRNA from 1 species
CACGUAGGGCGCAAGCGUUGUCCGGAAUUAUUGGGCGUAAAGGGCGCGUAGGCGGCCACGCACGUCCGUUGUGAAAUCGCCCGGCUCAACUGGGCGGGGUCAGCGGAUACGGUGUGGCUCGAGCAAGCUAGGGGCAAUGGAAUUCCCGGUGUAGUGGUGGAAUGCGUAGAUAUCGGGAGGAACACCAGUGGCGAAGGCGGUUGCCUGGAGCUUUGCUGACGCUGAGGCGCGAAAGCGUGGGGAGCGAUCCGG